GUUGCCAGCAAGUAGCGUUGGGCACUCUAGCCAGACUGCCGGUGAUAAAGUCGGAGGAAGGUGGGGACGACGUCAAAUCAUCAUGCCCUUUAUGUCCUGGGCUACACACGUACUACAAUGGCCGUUACAACGGGAAGCGAAGGAGCAAUCCGGAGCAAAUCCCUUAAAGGCGGUCCCAGUUCAGAUUGUGGGCUGAAACUCGCCCACAUGAAGGCGGAAUUGCUAGUAAUUGCAGAUCAGCAUGCUGCAGUGAAUACGUUCCCGGGCCUU
rnacentral:rRNA from 1 species